UACGGAGGGUGCGAGCGUUGUCCGGAAUCAUUGGGCGUAAAGGGCGCGUAGGCGGCCGUCCCAAGCGUGCGGUGAAAGUCGGGGGCUCAACCCCUGAUCGGCCGUGCGAACUGGGGGGCUGGAGCACUGUAGAGGCAGGCGGAAUUCCGGGUGUAGCGGUGAAAUGCGCAGAGAUCGGGAGGAACACCAAUGGCGAAAGCAGGUACCUGGACCAUUACUGACACUCAGCUGCGAAAGCUAGGGGAGCAAACAGG
rnacentral:rRNA from 1 species